AGAGCUAUUAAUGUAAUUAAAGAUCAAAGUUUCUCUCAGUUCCACAUCGAAUUCCUCGUUUACGUUCCUGCGACAAAAUAGUUAUCUCUAAAAUCAUAUAGUAGCACUUGAUAUUAGCUAAAAAUUCAAUAUUUAAAACAAUCAAAUAUAGAGGUAUCUAUGUCUAAUAAAUUAACUGGUUCAGUAAAAUGGUUCAACGAAACUAAAGGUUUUGGUUUUAUUUCUCAAGACAAUGGCGGUGAUGACGUAUUCGUUCACUUCCGUUCUAUUGUUUCUGAAGGCUUCAAAACUCUUACUGAAGGCCAAAAAGUAUCGUUCGUUGUUGAACAAGGUAACAAAGGUUUACAAGCUGCUGAAGUAACAGCACUGUAAUUCUU
rnacentral:sRNA from 1 species